rnacentral:rRNA from 1 species
UACGUAGGGUGCAGGCGUUAAUCGGAAUUACUGGGCGUAAAGCGUGCGCAGGCGGUUUGCUAAGACAGGUGUGAAAUCCCCGGGCUUAACCUGGGAACUGCGCUUGUAACUGGCAAGCUAGAGUGUGGCAGAGGGGGGUGGAAUUCCAGGUGUAGCAGUGAAAUGCGUAGAGAUCUGGAGGAACGCCGAUGGCGAAGGCAGCCCCCUGGGCUAACACUGACGCUCAUGCACGAAAGCGUGGGGAGCAAACAGG